GGUACUUUUUUUUUUUUUUUUUGAGACGGAGUCUCCUUCUGUACGCCAGGCUGGAGUGCAGUGGCACGAUCUUGGCUCACCGCGAC
rnacentral:lncRNA from 1 species